rnacentral:rRNA from 1 species
GAUUUGUGUUCCGAGCAGUCGGUACGCCGUUCGUCGGCGGUCAACUGACUCGCGGCGGAACGUCCUGCCGGUUGACGGAGCGGGAGGCGACCGCGCCGCGCGCCGUCGGAUCCGCGAGCGUCGUCAGGCGCGGACGUUUGCCCCGGCGUGGCCUUCUCCGCGGAGCGCUUCGCGUCGCCGUCGGGGGUGAGCGUCGCGGCCUCCGGUUUCCCACGCGAUGCCGGACGUCAAAAAGGCAAGCGCGGGCUCGCGCGGAGCUUCGGUUCCGCGCCGAAGCGCCUCUGCCGUCCGGGUCUCGGCCGGAGGCGAACGCUUUCCACUUUGCCAAACCCGCGGUCUCGACGGGAGCGAUCCGCGUCAACACGGGGAAGGCUCAGCGAAAGCGGCGCCGGGAAUGCGCGGCGUCCCGUCCGCGCUCGCUGUGGCGGCGCAUCAACGGGCGGCCGCCUUUGAGGAUCGCGCGGGCGCGCGCGCGCUCGGCGAAUUCGUCCCGUCGGGCGGAUUCGCGGACGCGCCCGCCGCGCGACUCCGCUGCGUCCGUCAGUCUUUUUUAUCUUGAGUAAAAAUCCCGUCGCGGCGCUCUUAGCCGAGUGACGCGCCGGGCCGGCACGUUUACUUUGAACAAAACUGAGUGCUUAAAGCAGGCCGAACCUCAGCGCCUGAAAGUCGGAUGCAUGGAAUAAUGGAAUAGGGCCUCGGUUCUAUUUUGUUGGUUUUCGGAAUUCCCGAGGCAAUGAUUAAUG